UAAAAAUAUUUUUGAAUGUUUGAAUGUAUAGAUUUAUUGUGGGAUGCAACCAGUAAUACAAAAAUAUUAAAUUCGUUUUUCUCCGUUUUAUAUUACAAAUUAUACACUUAUACAAAUGUUUUUAACGCUUUAUAUUUCUUUAUUUCACAAUACAUAUAUUUCUUUAUUUCACAAUACAUAUAUUUCUUUAUCCAAUCCACAAUUUAGACGUAAUAUUAUUUUAAUACAGCAAAAAAUGAUCGUGCUCAAUCUGACAACGUUGACGGUGCGACAUUCUCCGUGCAUUCUCCGUUGGACGCCGUAUCAAGACCUUACGUCGUUCUUACAAUUUUUCUGAUUUUUGGUAGAAAAGGUGAUUUUUCUGUACACUAUUUCAGUGUAUACUGUUCAUUAAGGCCUGUUUAAGCUCUUGAAAAUGAGUAUUAUUAAUAAUACAGAUCAGCACAUAAUGACCACAUAAAAGAAGAGACCUUGGUCACCUCUUGUAUAAUCCUGAUGUUUGGCCAUCAUUCUGGUUUACGAGCUUGAUUAUCUAUUAUCUGAUUAAAUAUUUUAGUACAACAAAUCAAUGGAUGCGUACAGUAGUUUCAGGGCAGUACAUUUAUCCUUUUCACGAAUAUUACGAACAAUGGUAUCAGGACUUAUAAGUAUAUCCAAAUAUCUAAAAUUUUAUUUCUUUUGGGUAAAUAUAUUUAUACUGGUUUUUAAUGUUCAUCAAUGGAUUUCAUGAUUUCCAAAUUUAAUUAAGUAGGAAAAAAUUUCCAAUGAGUCUCUGACUUGACAUUUUUUUUGUUCUUUAUUCUCAUAGAAAAAUUCAGAUCAUCUAUUUUUAGUUUGGGGCAAUUUUGGCUUUUGGUAAU